rnacentral:rRNA from 1 species
CCAGAGAACUUUCCAGAGAUGGAUUGGUGCCUUCGGGAACUCUGAGACAGGUGCUGCAUGGCUGUCGUCAGCUCGUGUUGUGAAAUUGUUGGGUUAAGUCCCGCAACGAGCGCAACCCUUUAUCCUUUGUUGCCAGCGGUUAGGCCGGGAACUCAAAGGAGACUGCCAGUGAUAAACUGGAGGAAGGUGGGGAUGACGUCAAGUCAUCAUGGCCCUUACGAGUAGGGCUACACACGUGCUACAAUGGCGCAUACAAAGAGAAGCGACCUCGCGAGAGCAAGCGGACCUCAUAAAGUGCGUCGUAGUCCGGAUUGGAGUCUGCAACUCGACUCCAUGAAGUCGGAAUCGCUAGUAAUCGUGGAUCAGAAUGCCACGGUGAAUACGUUCCCGGGCCUUGUACACACCGCCCGUCACACCAUGGGAGUGGGUUGCAAAAGAAGUAGGUAGCUUAACCUUCGGGAGGGCGCUUACCACUUUGUGAUUCAUGACUGGGGUGAAGUCGUAACAAGGUAGGCGUAGUGCU